GAAAAUUGGCCCUAGAAAAUGUGGAAAUUUGAAACCAUUUCAAAAGUCGUAAUCUAUGUCUGAUGCAUUCUGAGAGCCAGAACGUCGGACCAGAUGUCCUUGCUCGUCAUAUAGGUCAAGGUUCUCACAGGGGGCGGGGAAGACGGUACCUAUAACACGACCUUGAACGUGAGAGCACUGAAAUAUGUGUUUCUUCUUGUAUGUUAUCCCAAUUGACAUAUCUCUGAUAGUUAAAUUUUUCACUGGAAUUUCAGAAUUUCCAUGGAUACGAACGGGUACACGAACUCCCUCACCGUGUAUUGAUGUGUAGCUUAUGUCCUCUAGUACUGGUAGAGCUUUGGGAUUAAACUCCCCUGCAGGAUGUUCAUUGUAAUCUGUCUUGAUGACGAUCCCCACCCUAACGUUUACAAAUGUCAAGUUCCUGUAUGCUAUGUGUCGUACAUAUCCUCCUCUGCCAGCUGCUGUUUUGAUGCGAACAGCACGCCUUGAGUUCCAGACAUGUACGUUUUCCACAAUGACAUUUGACACUCCACCAGACA
rnacentral:misc_RNA from 1 species